GACGAACGCUGGCGGCGUGCUUAACACAUGCAAGUCGAACGAAGUGGCGAACGGGUGAGUAACGCGUAAUCAACCUGCCCUUCAGAGGGGGACAACAGGUGGAAACGACUGUUUAUACCGCAUACUGAAGGAGGGGAUUGCGUCUGAUUAGCUAGUUGGAGGGGUAACGGCCCACCAAGGCGAUGAUCAGUAGCCGGUCUGGGAGGAUGAACGGCCACAUUGGGACUGGGAACCGGCCCAGACUCCUACGGGAGGCAGCAGUGGGGAAUCUUCCGCAAUGGACGAAAGUCUGACGGAACAACGCCGCGUGAGUGAUGACGGCCUUCGGGUUGUAAAACUCUGUUAAUCGGGACGCGGUACCGGAAUAGAAAGCCACGGCUAACUACGUGCCAGCCGCCGCGGUAAUUC
rnacentral:rRNA from 1 species